CUUAUUGUAGGUGAACAAGUCACUUGUGCAAUUUCAGCUGAGGAUCUUAUUGAUUUUGUUGUUGGAAAAUUAGGGCACCAUGUAUGUAUAUGGAGUACUGAGAACAUUGAAGGAUCUUAUGAGAAUGUUACAAUUGGAGCUAU